rnacentral:lncRNA from 1 species
AUACUUUGCUUUGUACAAAUGACGCGUAUAUUUUUCUGUCUAUAUUACCAUUGUGAACCGUUUACUUGCUUUGAUUAAAUCAUGAAUCAUUAGAGUUUGCUUGCUUGUGCUUGGAUCCGUAGCAAAAGAAUGGUAUACUGCUCGUUUAGAUCUAGGUUUAGGCUUAGAAUAGAUUUUGGUUUUGGGGGUUUUCAUUGAAGGUUAAGAAGAAUAGAUUUCUUUGUUUAAUGUUCAUGAGAGACCGAAUGGAGAGGACGAAGCGUGAUGAUUGCUUUCCUUUGGUUUGUGCGUUUUAUUUUGAUUUAUCUGUGGAGUUAUUCGUUUCUAUUAAUAAUUAAUGUGAGCAGCUAGUCAUUAGUGGAC